UAAUGGAGCACUCUUUGUGGUGGUUGUGAUCGUAUCAGAAGCGUACAAUGAUCAGUGUAUUUCUAGCAGUUAUUGAGAAAAUCUUGUUAGAUUGAUCUAGGGCUUCAAGUCUUGUCAUUGAAGAGUAGAUAGAUACUUGCCAAUGCAUGAAAAGCUUUGGAUAUGUGUGUUCGGGUUAUUACUUGUUAGUUUAAGCUUUGUUGUGAAACACCUUCAGAACCUUAUGACAAGCUACUGUCGUGGAUUCGGACUCACAUCUACAAAGAGUUCCUAUAAUUGGAUGAUAUACUCAUUAAAAACUCACAUUUCAGAUCAUAAUUCAUAAUCCUUUUUCAUUUUCACUAAAAGCCUAAGUAUAGGCUUCAUAAUCCUUUCGAACAAUCCCAUUUAUUUCGAGUUUCAAGUACCCUCGUAAGCAAUUAAUACUAUGUUAACUUGGAUUUGUGUCUUUGAAGUUGGAACAAUAUCGGUUUUUAAGUUCGAUUUCCAACCCUAUUUAUAUGGCCUUA
rnacentral:lncRNA from 1 species